GGAGGCAGCAGUGGGGAAUAUUGCACAAUGGGCGAAAGCCUGAUGCAACGACGCCGCGUGAGGGAUGACGGCCUUCGGGUUGUAAACCUCUUUCAGCAGGGACGAAGCGAGAGUGACGGUACCUGCAGAAGAAGCACCGGCCAACUACGUGCCAGCAGCCGCGGUAA
rnacentral:rRNA from 1 species